AAUUUAAAAUUAUAUGAAAUUUUCAGUAAACAGCCAGUAACUGUAAAAGUAAAGGCAAUUUUUUAAAGGCGUUGAAUUGCUUGUUAAAGGCUGAGCCAUCGGGAACUUGUGCGUCCAUCUCAGGGAGACCUGGCCUUCAGAGAUGACAGCAUUCAGCCCCAGGAGGAGCCUGCAAUUCGUCCUCGGUCUUCCCAGCUUGUGCCCCCCAUGGGGAUACAGGACAGUAAGGAGCCAAACAGAACCUGCUGCCUGAAUGGGGGAACCUGCAUGCUGGGGUCCUUUUGUGCCUGCCUCCCCUCCUUCUAUGGAUGGAACUGUGAGCACGGUGUACGCAAAGAGAAUUGUGGGUCUGUGCCCCAUGACACCCGGCUGCCCAAGAAGUGUUCCAUGUGUAAAUGCUGGCACGGGCAGCUCCGCUGCUUUCCUCAGGCAUUUCUACCUGGCUGUGAUGGCCUUGUGAUGGAUGAGCACCUCAUGGCUCCCAGGACUCCAGAACUACCACCGUCUGCAUGCACCACUUUUAUAUGCUAGCUGGCAUCUGCCUUUCUAUACAAAGUUACUA
rnacentral:lncRNA from 1 species